UUACGGCCAUAUCUCGUUGGAACACCGGUUCCCGUACGAUCACCGAAUUUAAGCAACAUCGAGCUUGGUCAGUACCUAGAUGGGUGAUCGCUUGCGAAUGCCAGGUGCUGGAA